rnacentral:rRNA from 1 species
AACGAACGCUGGCGGCAGGCCUAACACAUGCAAGUCGAGCGAAGCCUUCGGGCUUAGCGGCGGACGGGUGAGUAACGCGUGGGAACGUGCCCUUUGGUACGGAAUAGCCCCGGGAAACUGGGAGUAAUACCGUAUGUGGUCGAGAGACGAAAGAUUUAUCGCCAAAGGAUCGGCCCGCGUUGGAUUAGGUAGUUGGUGGGGUAAUGGCCUACCAAGCCGACGAUCCAUAGCUGGUUUGAGAGGAUGAUCAGCCGCACUGGGACUGAGACACGGCCCAGACUCCUACGGGAGGCAGCAGUGGGGAAUCUUAGACAAUGGGGGAGACCCUGAUCUAGCCAUGCCGCGUGAUCGAUGAAGGCCUUAGGGUUGUAAAGAUCUUUCAGUGGGGAAGAUAAUGACUGUACCCACGGAAGAAGCCCCGGCUAACUCCGUGCCAGCCGCCGCCGUAA